AAGCUCGAAGGCGCGGGUAUCGAACAGGAUUAGAUACCCUGGUAGUCCGCACAGUAAACGAUGGAUGCUCGUUGUUCGCCCGUUUCGGGGUGAGUGACUUAGGGAAACCGUUAAGCAUCCCACCUGGGGAGUACGCCGGCAACGGUGAAACUCAAAGGAAUUGACGGGGGCCCGCACAAGCGGAGGAACAUGUGGUUUAAUUCGAUGAUACGCGAGGAACCUUACCCGGGCUUGAACUGCAGGAGAACGAUACAGAGAUGUUGAGGCCCUUCGGGGCUCCUGUGGAGGUGCUGCAUGGUUGUCGUCAGCUCGUGCCGUGAGGUGUCGGCUUAAGUGCCAUAACGAGCGCAACCCCUUUCGCCAGUUGCCAUCAGGUGAUGCUGGGCACUCUGGCGACACUGCCACCGUAAGGUGCGAGGAAGGUGGGGAUGACGUCAAAUCAGCACGGCCCUUACGUCCGGGGCUACACACGUGUUACAAUGGGUGGUACAGAGAGCAGGGUGCACGCAAGUUCACCCGAAUCACGAAAGCCAUCCUCAGUUCGGAUUGGGGUCUGCAACCCGACCCCAUGAAGCUGGAUUCGCUAGUAAUCGCGCAUCA
rnacentral:rRNA from 1 species